UACGUAGGUGGCAAGCGUUGUCCGGAUUUACUGGGUGUAAAGGGUGCGUAGGCGGGAGACAAAGUCAGAUGUGAAAUACCGAAGCUUAACUUCGGGGCUGCAUUUGAAACUUGUUUUCUUGAGUGAGGUAGAGGUAAGUGGAAUUCCUAGUGUAGCGGUGAAAUGCGUAGAUAUUAGGAGGAACACCAGUGGCGAAGGCGACUUACUGGGCCUUAACUGACGCUGAGGCACGAAAGCAUGGGGAG
rnacentral:rRNA from 1 species